UACAGAGGGUGCGAGCGUUAAUCGGAAUUACUGGGCGUAAAGCGCACGUAGGCGGCUUGGUAAGUUGGAUGUGAAAUCCCCGGGCUUAACUUGGGAAUUGCAUUCAAGACUGCCUUGCUAGAGUGUGGGAGAGGGAAGCGGAAUUCCAGGUGUAGCGGUGAAAUGCGUAGAUAUCUGGAGGAACACCGGUGGCGAAGGCGGCAUCCUGGACCGGCAUUGACGCUGAGGCGCGAAAGCCAGGGGAGCAAACGGG
rnacentral:rRNA from 1 species